rnacentral:rRNA from 1 species
GACGAACCGUGCGAACGUUGUCCGGAAUCACUGGGCGUAAAGGGCGCGUAGGCGGCCUGAUAAGUAGGGGGUGAAAUCCUGCGGCUUAACCGCAGGGCUGCCUUCUAAACUGUCAGGCUUGAGCACAGUAGAGGCAGGUGGAAUUCCCGGUGUAGCGGUGGAAUGCGUAGAGAUCGGGAAGAACAUCAGUGGCGAAGGCGGCCUGCUGGGCUGUUGCUGACGCUGAGGCGCGACAGCGUGGGGAGCAAACAGG